GGCUCAGGACGAACGCUGGCGGCGUGCUUAACACAUGCAAGUCGAACGGAAAGGUCUCUUCGGAGAUACUCGAGUGGCGAACGGGUGAGUAACACGUGGGCAAUCUGCCCUGCACUUCGGGAUAAGCCUGGGAAACUGGGUCUAAUACCGGAUAUGACCUCGAGGCGCAUGCCUUGUGGUGGAAAGCUUUUGCGGUGUGGGAUGGGCCCGCGGCCUAUCAGCUUGUUGGUGGGGUGAUGGCCUACCAAGGCGACGACGGGUAGCCGGCCUGAGAGGGUGUCCGGCCACACUGGGACUGAGAUACGGCCCAGACUCCUACGGGAGGCAGCAGUGGGGAAUAUUGCACAAUGGGCGCAAGCCUGAUGCAGCGACGCCGCGUGGGGGAUGACGGCCUUCGGGUUGUAAACCUCUUUCACCAUCGACGAAGGUCCGGGGUUUCUCGGAUUGACGGUAGGUGGAGAAGAAGCACCGGCCAACUACGUGCCAGCAGCCGCGGUAAUACGUAGGGUGCGAGCGUUGUCCGGAAUUACUGGGCGUAAAGAGCUCGUAG
rnacentral:rRNA from 1 species